rnacentral:lncRNA from 1 species
UGGUGUCUCACUGUCCCUCCGUUGGAUGUGUGCCUGUGCCUCUGCACACCCACCUCCCAGGCUGUAUCCCCCUCUGUUCCCAUGGACGUGCCCCUAUCCCCUUCUCCGUGGGGUCUUUUCGGUGGUUCCGGGUCGCGUGUUCUUGGCCCCCGUGCCCGUGGCGGGAGGCCCUUCUUACCUGAGUUGAGCCUGGUGCGCGCCCGCGGGAGGGUCCGGGGCAGCGGGAUGCUCGGCGCCGACUAAGGCUCGGGAGCCUGCGGGCGGGGGGCGGCGGGAG